rnacentral:rRNA from 1 species
UACGUAGGGUGCAAGCGUUGUCCGGAAUUAUUGGGCGUAAAGAGCUCGUAGGCGGUCUGUCGCGUCGGAUGUGAAACUCGGGGCUCAACCCCGGAGCCUGCAUUCGAUACGGGCAGACUAGAGUUCGGUAGGGGAGACUGGAAUUCCUGGUGUAGCGGUGAAAUGCGCAGAUAUCAGGAGGAACACCGGUGGCGAAGGCGGGUCUCUGGGCCGAUACUGACGCUGAGGAGCGAAAGCGUGGGGAGCGAACAGG